rnacentral:rRNA from 1 species
GACGAACGCUGGCGGCGGGCUUAACACAUGCAAGUCGAACGGAAAGGCCCUGCUUUCGUGGGGUGCUCGAGUGGCGAACGGGUGAGUAACACGUGAGUAACCUGCCCUUGACUUUGGGAUAACUUCAGGAAACUGGGGUUAAUACCGGAUAGGAGCCCCUGCUGCAUGGUGGGGGUUGAAAGUUUGGGCGGUUGGGGAUAGACUGACGGCUUAUCGGCUUGUCGGUGGGGUAGUGGCCUACCCAGGCUUUGAAGGGUUGCCGGCCUGGGAGGGUGAACGGGCACAUUGGGACUGAGAGACGGCGCAGACGGCAAUGGGAGGCAGCAGUGGGGAAUCUUGCCCAAUGGGCGGAAGCCUGAGGCAGAGACGCCGCGGGCGGAAUGACGGCCUGCGGGUAGAAAACCGCUUUCGCCUGUGACGAAGCGGUUGUGACGGUAAUGGGUGAAGAAGCACCGGCUAACUACGUG